ensembl:lncRNA
GGAAGGGGGAGGAAGAAACCCAAACACAGGGCUGCCUGGAUGCUAUGGAUGAAAUCAUGUCCCCCUACCAAGCCCCAGGCCCACUAGUGUGAUGGUAUUUGGAGGUGGGGGUCUUCAGGAGGUGAACAGGUGCAGAUGAGGUCAUGAGGGUGGGACUUUCUUGACAGAAUUAAUGCCCUUGUAAGAAACACCAAAUCUGCAGGCACUCUGAUUUUGGACUUCCAGUCUCCAGAACCAUGAGAAAUAAAGUCUGCUGUUGAAACCACCCCAUCUAUGCUAGCCUGCUGGUCCCAGGAAGAAGAUAAGAGACUCACGGAGCAGGACUGCCUGACCAGGUCCAGCCCAGAUCAGCUGACUCUCAGCCAGUUCACAGAAGCAUGAACUAAAUAAGUGCUCCUGGAGCCAACGAUGAGUGGUGUCCACCUUACUCCAUCCUCAUCCACCUUGUCUCCCAGGCCCAUCACUGGCACUCCAUUGGCCCAACCCAUCUACCAAGAACAAGGGAUGACUGCCUAUCACACAGGGUUAUUUCAAGAGGAAUCAAUCAAAUGGAAAGAAUUGUUCACACUCAAGGUCACCACGUGCUCUGCUACCAUUCUCUCUAGAACUCAUUCCAACCAGGCUCUUGUCCCCGAGUCCAGGAAACAGCUCUCAUCAAGGUCACCAAUGAUGUCUGCAUUGCCAGGUCCAAUGGGUCCUGAGACUUCCAGUCCUGAUCAUCCAUGUGGUUCCAGAAUGCUGGCAACUUUUAUCCUUCAGGCAGAAGUUUGGUAGAGACUCUCUGGGGACCAGCCAGAGGACAGACCUAAGACACUGACAUCCCCCAACAAACAACCACUGAAGCUGACAAGCAAUUUCCUCAAACUCAAAGCUUCUAAUCAGCUCUUUGAUUUUGCUACCGGAACCUGAACAGACAGUAAAGGAUUAUUAGAUACUUGAAAGAGGAAAAAGCCUCUAAUACAAAAGAUAGAAGCCAAAGUCAACAAAUGGGAAAAGGUAACUCAGAGGAAACUAUGCGGAGGAAGAAAGAAAAUGUUUAAGCAUUAAUA